AUCCAACUGACGAGUUCCAAAUGGGACGAAACACUCGUCCUGCUAGAU
rnacentral:hammerhead_ribozyme from 1 species